CAUCGAUGAUUUCAGAAGGGGUAUCUCUUCUUCAAGGACCACAACCUCUCUUUUUUCUGAACUCUUCUUUCCAUUUCCGUCUCUGUCUCACAAACCCUUUUGUUUCUCUCAAACCUUUCCUUGCCUCGCUUUCCGAUUUCAAGUUCUCUAUGUGUCUCGAUUUUUUGCAGAAAACGGUUAAGUUAGUAAAAUUUGUUUAGAUCGUUUUGUUGGGGGUUGCAGACUACAUCGUUCUCUCACUGACAAAUAGUCAAUUGGUCUCGAUUUGCCAAAUAUUUGGAGCCCAUAAAGGAUCGCGUUGCCUGCUACCGAUUUAGUGAAGGAGAUCCAGUUUUUUGGGUUUUUGGCGUUUCUUUGUAGCCUGCGAAGGCCUCUGUAUUUAAGUUCUCUCCUUCCAUAGCUAGCACCGAGAUGGUGCUUUGGAGACGACCACCAGAUGCCACCCUCACUUGUGGGAUGUCCCUAAUCUCUCUUAGACUCUCUUACUUCAAUCUCUUAACUCUGCAACUGCAUCACCGUGGCUGAGCCGCCUUGUUCGACAUCGGUUAUCGAUUCCCCAGCAUGAGAACGUCAAACCACGAAGAAACCACCUCAGGAAUUUCUCCACGUUUUUCGACGAGCAGCACCGCCCAUUUUGAGGCAAUUUCCAGCCAAACCACAGCGAGUUGGCCGGUUUGCAAGUUUCCGGCGACCUUCGAGGCCUUCGAGGCAUUUUCUGGCCAAACCACGGUGAGUUAGACAUCGUGCGAGGUAUCAUGCUCUUCAUCUCUUCGAGGGAUAUGAUUUCCGUUUUUGAAUCACUCGAUUUCAUUAAGUAUUGACAAAGUUAUGAGUGUUUAAAGUUAGGGAAGUUUCUGGCCGAAUUCCGGUCUUCUUCUUCCUUGGGUUUGGCGACCCAUCAAACGCCCUUCGGGCCUUUCCUGCCGAGCCCAACCCAAACCCAUUUCUUUUAUUUAUUUAUUUUGUUUUAAUUUUAAAUAAAAAGGCCUUUGGACCGUUUUAUUUAGGGCCAUAGGCCCAUCCUCUUCAGAACCCAAAAGCCCUUAGGCUUAAGGCCUUUGGGCUGUAGUUGUUGGAGGCCCUAAGCCCAACCCCAACCUUAUUAAUUAUUUUUGUUUAUUAAAUUGAUUUCAAAAACCCUAAGGCUUUCAGGUCAUGUUCCUUAGGGCCUUAGGCCCGUGCCCUCUAAACCCUAAAUCCCCUAGGCUUAACCCAACACCCUUAAGACCCAAGUCCUAUCCGGUGGAAUAUUCUCUAGAAUAUUCCCCUGUUGACUUUUACGGAAUUUAUCCGGGACUCUUCUCAGGGUAAUUCGACGUCUUGAAUCCAUUUCCAACGUUCGUUUUCCCAAAUUCAAUUGUUAUAAUAGAGUUUUAUUAAUUUGAGUCUUUAUGUGCUUAGGGGCAAUUAUUGUGGCGUUUCCAUCUUCGCUAGUUUGCGUGGCUCUUCGGCGGCUAAGUAUUUGUGAGUGGACCCCUUCUAAAAUGCAUGUUUUGAUAGUAGAAAUGCAUACAUGAAAAACAUGAUUUAACAAUUAUGUUUUGUGAGACGCUUUGAGAUAACAUGUUUACUGAGACUAUUUUGAAUUAUUACUAUUUUUCCUAUAACCCGUGUUCUUAUAGAAUAUCUGAUAGAUGACGAUAUGAUAUUUAGAACAUGAUUAGAACACUUCUUUAUAGUAUAGAUGAUGGAUGACUUUAUACUAUGAAGUUGAUUUUCUAUAUAUAUAUGUUCAAUGGUUUGUACUUACCUAGUGGUCCAUUCCGCUAUGGAACGUAGGGAUAGAUUCUGGUCCGUCCCAGGCGACGGUAUGGUGUUGGCAUAGGGUUUGGAGUGUGUUUCCUCUGGUUAUUUAGCACAGGGAUGGGGAGCCGGCAUAGGGCCUGGAGUGUAUUUUCCUUUGACUGUCUGCUCAGAGACAAGGAGCCGGCAUAGGGCCUGGAGGUUAUUGGACAAUUCACUAGUGAUUAUUAUAUGAGUUAUGAUUUGAGACAUUGCACGACAUGCUAGGUUUCGAAAAACCUAUUUUGAUCAUGAUAUAUGGGUUUUCAUAAACCUGUGGGUUAAUAUGUUGAUAACUGUUUUAUUAUAUAUAUAUAUCAACUUGGUCCACUCGUGUUUGUUUUGUGCCCCCUUCAAGACUUAGAAUCUAGGCAUACAAUCCCGGCAUCCAGGCACUUCCGCAUCGGCAUCUUCGAGUCCUCUCAGUGUAGGAUCCAUCCUUUGUUUUAUUCAAUUUAUAUUAUUUCUUUUAGUAUUCUAGCUAGUUGUAUGCUCUGAACACGUUCCUUAAAUGCUUAUUAUUUAUUCUUUUAUAUUUAUAAGUCUUAUCCAUCCUUUAUUCUCAGCAUUUGCACUCAAUAAAUGACUUUCGUCACCCUCGGAUGUCGGCCAACACGUGGCUAUCCUGGUAUUUGAGAAAUAUCGGGAUCGGGCCGUGUCAAUCUUAAAUCAGAUUAGUUAAUUAUAGUUAAUUUUGAAAAAAAAAAUUCUGUUAUGUAGCUGAAAUAGCUAAAGUUGAGAAUGUUGGAUAUGUUGCCCUAGGGAAGAAAUUUUAAACCUACAAAAGCUUGGUUUUCAGGAAAUUGCCAAUCCUGCAUAAACUUUGGGUUUCCUGAAGUUAGUGGCGAUUCGUUAACUGGAAUGAGAAUUCAACUUCACACUUUUCGUUCCUGCCACGAAACUGCGAACUACUCUCUCUGUGGAAAAAUAAAUUAGGGUUCUUCUUCGAUUAUCUCAGAAGCAGCGGAAGAAAUUAAUUUUGAUGGUCGUCCAUUAGACUCUCCAUAAGGCACUCCAGUCAAGACAAAAUGAUAACGAGGAUGCACUCCAGUCGAGACAAAAGGAUAACGAGGAUGAGGCUUUUCCAAAACUAAUUUCAUCAAUACUUUUGACAAAUCUGGGAAUUAUUAAAUUGUAAUUUCAUUUUAUGGUUCCAUUAAUUUUGUUAGAAUUGUGAUUUGCAAGUUACAAAGAGAAUUUCAGUUACUUUGUUUUCUCGAUGAAGAUUUAGGGUAAAGGUAUGGGUUUUAAUCAACCAACCAUGAAUAGAGAUGUUACAUUAUCUAUAUUGUAAUAUGAGUUUAGAAGAUAAUUGCAAUUAAACUUAUCUGACUUUUUUCUGUUUCAUGAUGAGGAUGUGAAGGUUUUUGGCCGGGGAUGGAAAAAGUACGGUCAGGUAUGAUUUAACUUUAUCAAUAUUUCAUGCUAUUAUUAGUCCUGUGAAAUAUAUUUUCUUUAGUGUUGUUUUUUAGCAUGUCAAUGUGUGAGUGUCUUUUUUAAUUUUUUUCAAAAACAUAUUGAACAAUGUUUUGUUUCAACAAAUGAUUUAAGCCCUUAAUGUGUUAGGCAUCGCAUCAUGUUCCAAAGAACUUGAAUGGCAGGUUAAAAUAUAUUGUAGCUUUUCAACAAAUUCGCUACCCUUAGUCAUACUCAGUGCAUAAGGCUCCCGCUUUACGCAGGGUCUGGGAGAGGUGAAUGUCGGCUAGCCUUAAGAUUGUGUACUUUUGAGAACUCCUUUUUAAUACAGCUUCAUUAAAUUUCUCUAAACCGUGGGGAGAUGUUGGACAGAAUGAAUCUUAUGGCGUUAAGGGUUGACAGCAGUAGCUCAUGCUGAUGGAUUUUUAGAAAAAAGAAGAAAAAGAAGAAGAAAAAAAUGGGUAUUUUCCUUUUGUCUUUUGGUUUAUGUUUCAAUUAUAUAAUGGCUGCAAUCUAAAUGUUUCUUAUUUUUUUAUUUGAUUUGACUCAACCUUUUGCCUACUUGGAAUCCUCCACCGAAAGGCAAAUUGGUUUCUGUUUUCUUUCUAUUUUUAGGAAAAUUUGGGAUAGUUAAAAGAAAAAAAAAUUAAAUAAAAAAGGAGGGUUCCAAGUUACAUUUUUUUUUUUUUUUUGAGAAGAAACUGAAACAUUUUAUUAAAAAAGAAAGGUGAAAUUAUACAGAAGUGGAUAAGAAAUCCACCAAGAACAAAUCAAGAAAAUCUCUCAAGAGGAUUUGAUUACAAGUAGCAAAACCUUAACCAAAAUCACUUUACAGCUGCUAACAUAUCCCACAGUAUGUGAGAAAGAGGGUAAUUCUUAAAAUCAUUCGAAACUGGAGCUCGGAGCCCAGAGGACUGCCCAAUAUCUUACUCUUCCCCAUAGAUCUACUACCCCCACACCAGUAUAAUCCUAAAAAAUUCUUUUGUACACUCCAACCAAAUGUUCCAAAAAACUGCCAACACCAGACAACCCCACAAAGCUUUAGCUUUCCUCCCAACUCCUAGAGCCUUAAAAUUGGUGCUUAGAAACUCAAAACAACCCUUUGGAAUGACCCAACUAACUCUAAACCUCCUGAAACAAUUUCCACCACAAUUGGAUCGUGUAAGAACAGUGGAGAAAAAUGUGGUUAACACUCUCCUCCUUAGCUUUACACAAACUGCACCAAUGGGGAUAUAAACAAAUAAAAGGGCUUCUCCUUUGAAUUUGAUCACAAGUAUUGCGCUUCCCAUUAGCCAUUAGCCACACAAGAACUUUGACCUUCGGAGGAACUUUUGAUUUCCAAAUCUGAGAAGAGGAUGAAAAAUGUUGCACAAUCCCAUUGUUGCUCAAGACAUAGCGAUGGGAUUUGCAAGAGAACAAUCCUGAUAAGUCCAGUUUCCACCUUCUGUUAUCCGCUCUUGAUUAAGACAAGCAAAUAUUUUCCACUUUUUGUAAUAAUCUAGCCGCCUCUUCUAUCUCCACCUCAUUCAAAUUUCUCCUGAAAUCAAAAUUCCAACUCAAAGAAUUGAUAGAAUGAUCCACAAAACUUGAGAUGUUCUGAUUGUGCAUUCUCGAUAGCAAGAAUAAUCUAGGAUAUUGCUCUUUCAAUGGUCCCCCUUCCAACCAACCAUCCUCCCAAAACCUCACCCUCUCCCCGUUGCCCACCUCAAACUUGGAGCAUUGUAGAAACAAUUGGUAACCACACGAAAUAUCUUUCCAGGGGCUGCGACUUGAAACCCGCAGCGGAGGGUUUUCAUUCCACCCAUUAUCCUGCAGCCCAUACUUGCUUCUUAUCACCUUAUGCUAGAGAGAAUUUGGUUCCCUUGGGAAUCUCCACAACCACUUAGCCAGUAACGCUUCAUUCCGUUUCCUCAAAUUCCCCACACCUAAACCCCUUUCCUCCACUAGGUGGUUUUCUUUCCUUCCUCCACCCCUUCCCAAAGAAACCCUUUCAUUAGUUUUUCUAGGCGUCCAAUCACCCCGCAAGGAAUUUUGAACAAGGACAUGUAAUAGAUUGGCAAGCUUCCCAAAACAGAUUGAAUCAAAGUUAAUAUACCUCUUCUGGAUAAGAAGGCCUUCUUCCAACUUUGAAGUCUUUUUUUCCAUUUUUUCUACCACUGGAUCCCAAAACAUAAGUGCUCUUGGCCUACCCCUAAGAGGGAGACCCAAGUACUUUAUUGGCCAACUACCCACCUCGCAACCCCAAUAAUCUGCCAUCCUUUUUAAUUUCUCACAAUCUGAGUUUAUUCCGGCCAAAGAACACUUUGCUUUGUUGAUUUUCAACCCUGAAACAGUACAAAAUAAAUUGAGCACCUCUAAUAAAUUGUUCCAAACUUCCUCAUCUUCCGCCAGGAACAAAAUGGUGUCAUCAGCAAAUUGAAGAUGAGUAAUCUCCACCCUUUCUUGCCCAAUGCAUAAACCCUUGAUCAGGUGAUUUUCUUGAGCCUUCUCCAUUAAUCUACUCAAAAUAUCCAAUUUCAAGAUUUCCCAACAAUGUUGAAACUCAAAAGGCCUCUCAAGCCAAGCUGCCUCAAAUUCACUUAUUGAGGCCCAAUUGAUGCCUUCCAAGCCCCAACAUGCCUCUUUGUUGCUACUAAACAGGGACUUGAAAAAGUUAACGAUAUGUUUUUCUAUCUCUUAUGCAUCCUCUACCACUCCCCCGUCAUCCGCUUCCAACCUUUCUAUAUAGUUUCUCUUCCUUCUCCCACUUGCUUUUCUAUGGAAAAAUUUAGUAUUACCGUCCCCUUUUUUAGCCCAUUCCACUUUACCUCUCUACCUCCACUUCACUUCUUCCUUAUAAGCCAGAUCUUCCACAAGGAAAAGUAACUCUUCCCUCUUUCUUUUAGCAACAACAUCUAGCCCUUCCAUCCCUUCUCUCCUAUCUAAAUCCUCUAUGCUAGCCUCAGCUUCCUUAAUGUCUUUCUCGAUAUCAUCGAAAUCUCCUUACUCCAUCUUUGCAACUUUCUUUUGAUAGUUUUUAACUUGCUCAAAAAUUUAUAACCCUCCACCUGCUCAGAUUGCCACCAUUGUUUGAAAUUGUUCUUGAAAUUUGGGUGUUGUAGCUACAUGUUUUCGAAUCUGAAAGGACUUGGCCCCCAUUUCACUUUGUUAGUAUCUAGCUGGAUUGGACAAUGAUCAGAAAGGACCAUUGCCAAAGCCAAUUGUCUUACCUCUGGAAAAAUCUCUUCACAACCUACAGAGAACAAAAAUUUGUCUAACUUCCGACACACAGGUUCUUCUCUGAAGUUUGACCGAGUAAAUUGAGCAUUGAGCAGCUCCAGAUCCUUGAGUUUUGUAUCUUGGAUGAAAUCAUUAAAAUCCCUCAUGCUUGUAGUCAUCCUUCCCCCAUUUGAUUUCUCAUUUACAAAUCUCAUCACGUUAAAAUCUCCUCCUACACACCAUCUUGGUCAGCAAAGGCCGUAAAGGCCAGCCAAUUCUUCCCAAAACUCCCUUCACUCUCUAUUUUUGCAGGGACCAUAAACACCUGAUAACCACCAUUCCAACCCAUUGAGGGCCUUAAUUUUUAUGGAAACCGAGAAAGCUCCAACCAAAGAUUCAAUAACUGAGAUGUGUUUGGUGUUCCAAAUCACAGCUAUACCCCCAAAUCUUCCUUGAGCAGGAGCAUAAAUCCACUCUUUAAAUUUGCUUCCCCAAACACUAGCCAUAAGCCUCCUGUCAAUUGAUGCUUUCUUUGUUUCAUGUAAGAUAAUGAUAUCUGGCUUUAAGCACUGGAACUGCUGUUUCAAAAUCAACCACUUCUGCCUACUUCCCAAGCCUCUAACAUUCCAGCUAAUUAUCUUCAUUAAAUCUGACAAUGCCCCUUUGAAUUUUCUUGUCUCCCUUGUUUCCACCCACAAGCUUGAUAACAUUGACUUUCCCAGUAUUCAUUUCAUGAAAUAAAGACCUUUUCAGUGGAACCAAAGAAACUUUCAUAUUUGACAUGAAUUUGGUAGUUCGAUUUUGUGCCUCACGUUUGACUGAUACGCUAGCCGACCUUUUCCUCCUGCUGUACUUUUAACAGUUUCUUGUUUUUUUCCAGUAUCCUUGAAUUUAACUUGUUCCAGUAUCCUUACUUUACUUUCAUAGAAUGUUUCUGGUUUCUGUUUGUCUUGGGGGAAAAUUUGCAUUUGUGGAGAAGUUUUUGGUGAAAUAUGAUCAGGUUUAAAGCUUUGCAGGUUGUUUUGUUUCAACUAGGACUAGUGCUGGAUUUUUGUGUGGCAGAAAUGAGUUCAAAUUUUUCGAAAAUAGAAUUAGUUGUUUUGAAUUGGGUUUGAAGGUACUCAACUGUGGUGAAACCGUUGUUCAAAAGGGUUGAUGUGGAGCUGAUUGCAAUUGAAUUGGAUGAACUGAGUACGAAUUUUUCUACCUAUUACAUGGCAAUGCUACAGUUUGCAAUUCAGUCCUUACAUUAAUGUAAUUGAAUUUUGUCGUAU